GAUGAACGCUGACAGAAUGCUUAACACAUGCACGUCGACUGUGGCGGACGGGUGAGUAACGCGUAAAGAACUUGCCUCACAGCUAGGGACAACAUUUGGCAACGAAUGCUAAUACCUGAUACGGUGAGAGAGCUUUGCGUCCCAGUAGCUAGGUGGAGAGGUAACGGCUCACCAAGGCGAUGAUGGGUAGCCGGACUGAGAGGGUGAUCGGCCACAAGGGGACGGAGACACGGCCCUUACUACUACGGGAGGCAGCGGGGUGGAAUAUUGGACAAUGGACCAAAGUCUGAUCCAGCAAUUCUGUGUGAACGAUGAAGUUUUCGGAAUGUAAAGUGCUUUCAGUUGGGAAGCGGUACCAACAGAAGAAGUGACGGCUAAAUACGUGCCAGCCGCCGCGGUAAUAC
rnacentral:rRNA from 1 species